CCUUCGCCUUGGUGGGGGGGUGAGGGGCGGAAGGGAAAAAAUACUGGGGAUAGCAGGGGCUCGUUGCUCAUGGAAACUAGCUUAGGUUCUCUCUUCUGGGGACCGGGAGCUUGGGAUGAAUGUGUUAGCAACAUUCUGGGCUUAACUCAGGCAAGCCCCUUUUCUAGGGCUCUCCAUGGAGCAGAAGCCCGAUCAGAUUUGUGGGGGAGGAAACCACCCUCUGCGAAACCUCUGGGGCUGAGUGUUUUUCCUCGUUAUGAAGUACUCAGAGCGGCUGAGCGUGUCAGAUCUGGAGAAUGUGAUUAUACAAGAGAGAGAUUUUUCAGAAAGGAAAAAAAAAGCAACCCAUCAGAAAUCCUAAUAUUGCUACAUGAGUUUAAAUAAAAAAGUUAGAGAUCAAAACACGAGUGGGCUGCAAGCUUGAAAACUUCUCCACCAAACAGCAGCA
rnacentral:lncRNA from 1 species